rnacentral:rRNA from 1 species
AGUGAACGCUGGCGGCAGGCCUAACACAUGCAAGUCGAGCGGACGCACGGUAAGCGCUCGCUCUUACGGGUGGCGACUGGCGGGUGGGUGAGAAGUACAUCGGCAUCUACUUUUUCGUGGGGGAUAACGUGGGGCCGCAUACACUAAUAGCUCAUAUGACGUACGGGUGGGAGCAGUGGAUCUUCGGACCUUUGGUGAUUCUAUGAGCCGAGGUCGGAUUAGCUAGUUGGGGGGGUAAAGGCCCACCAAGGCGACGAUCCGUAGCUGGUCUGAGAGGAUGAUCAGCCACACUGGAACUGAGACACGGUCCAGACUCCUACGGGAGGCAGCAGUGGGGAAUAUUGGACAAUGGGCGCAAGCCUGAUCCAGCCAUGCCGCGUGAGUGAAGAAGGUCUUCGGAUUGUAAAGCUCUUUUGUUGGGGAAGAACAGCAGUAUGUUAAUACCUGGCUGUUUUGACGGUACCCAAAGAAUAAGCACCGGCUAACUUCGUG